rnacentral:rRNA from 1 species
GGCGACCGGCGCACGGUGAGGUAGCGCGUAUCGCAACCUACCUAUCAGAGGGGAAUAACCCGGCGAAAGUCGGACUAAUACCGCAUAAAACAGGGGCACGCAUGGUGAUAUUGUUAAAGAGAUUCGCUGAUAGAUGGGCAUGCGUUCCAUUAGGUAGUUGGUGAGGUAACGGCUCACCAAGCCGACGAUGGAUAGGGGAACUGAGAGGUUGGUCCCCCACACUGGUACUGAGACACGGACCAGACUCCUACGGGAGGCAGCAGUGAGGAAUAUUGGUCAAUGGGCGGGGGCCUGAACCAGCCAAGUCGCGUGAAGGAAAAGAAGGAUCUAUGGUUCGUAAACUUCUUUUGCAGGGGAAUAAAGUGCAGGACGUGUCCUGUUUUGUAUGUACCCUGAGAAUAAGGAUCGGCUAACUCCGUGCCAGCAGCUGC